rnacentral:lncRNA from 1 species
UAAAUUUAAGGAACACUCUUGAAGAAUUGAACCGGUGGCUGGAGAUAUAAAGUUGGUCAAUUGAGGUUUUUGUGUAAAGUGAGAAACCUUAUGAUGAUGUGGGUACUCGGAGAUCCCAGUCAGCAAAGUCAAAGUCAACGACAAUCGCAAGAAUAAAGAGCGCUGAACAUAAACUAUAAGAAAGAAGCUGAAAGUUAGGAGCUGAAAACACCUAACCAGAAGCUGAUACACCAACAGCUGGUGAGAGGAAACCAAGGUUACUGUACAACCUUGAAACUUGAACUAAACAGGUCAAACUGAUUAGACAUCUCUCUACAACACAUAAAGGUGUUUUCGAGACACACAAACCUGAAACAUACCCAAAGAGGCAAGGCUAACCCUGCAAGCAACAUCGGGGAAGGAUAAGCUUAUCAAGACUAGAAGGUGCAAAGCUGGCAUGAGGCUCCCUUGGGCAGAGCAACAUAAAAGGAGGGUCUUGUUCCAUCCCAAAGUAAGUCAAUCUCUCUCACUCUCACUCUAAAACUCUUAUCCUUUCAUUUCGCUUAGACUCUUAAGAUCAUCCUACUGAUUCUCAUGCCGAAGUCCAAACGCGGGAGGCCACCUCUCGCGUUAAGACUAACGGUGUUCUUUGAUUGCAGAUUUCAACAAAGGAGCUACCUUUUGGAGUUAAUAGUGGACCCUUCCCCCUGACAUAUUCUUGUUACUUUCACAAGUGGCGCCCACCAUCGGGCUGCACUACUUAGAACAAUUUUUCCGGUAGUAUAGCCUUGUUCCUAAGUUACAUUCUCUUAUGGCUGGAAAUGAUCAUUAUCCAAAGGAAGUUUCAAGCAGUUCCUUGUCUCGGUCUAGUCCUCCGGCUACUCCCGGAGUAGUUAAUCGAGGAUUACAUUAAAAUUGGGGAGGAUUGUUGGACAUUUUAGUAUAAUUGGGAUUGGUUUGAUGACCAGAGUGAAUUGUAAUACACAUCAGGAAAUUUAGGAGGAACGAGAGUGCACGCUUGUUUGAGUUUGUUAUAGCUUUAAGUGUUUGGGCGGAGCCCCUAAACAAUGGGGGUUCCAAGGGGGCGUAGUCCCCUUGGAGGGGGGGGGGGGGGUUCCAGGAACAAUAUCCCUAGGAGAAGGGUCCAAAGGGUAGAGCCCCUGGCUAUAGUCGAGAUGGAAAAUUAGAUCAUUUUUCGUGAAAUUAGAAAUUUAUAUUUCUAUAAAUUCGGGCAUUUUUUCGAGAUGGAAAAGUUGGUCAUUAUUAGAGGCAAGUUUGCAUUCAAAUUGAUAACUGCCUAGAGGCAAUUACCACGAGUUGGUAUCACUAAUUCGAAAAAAAAAACAAUUGGUCACUUCCUCUUGUUCAUGAAUUUACUAACAAAUCACAUACAUAGUUUUUGUUCUCAAAUCUAAGUUGUGUCUGAUUGGAUUUUUCAGGGCGAACCAUCGAAUAAUUUGAUUUGAAAGUGAUUACACGCCUCUUAGAUCAUCCAAUGUAAUCUCGAGAAUUUUACGGAGAUCUGACGGCGCGUCGCAGCAAAUGCAGAAGAAUUCCGAUCUCCGAUGGCUGGCUCUUUCUUAGUUGGUUGUUCCUUCAGACUCGUGUAAUAUUUCAUUAUUCUUGCUUACUAAAAGUGAGUUUGAUUUCUCUAUAGCGAUUAAUCAGGGGUACGUGCCUUGAUAUAACAUGAAGAGAUUUAUACACAAGGAGAAAUGAAAAGGAGAUGAUCAUGUUCUGUAUAUCUUUGUGUUUAUGUUGACAUAACCAUGACAUCUCUGAUCAAUGUAUGAAAUGUUAGAUUAAACAGAUUAAAUACAACUGGAAUUCUACGAAACAUUAAGCAUAAAUGAAAAUGCAAAAUAUCUCCUG